UACGUAGGGUGCAGGCGUUAUUCGGAAUUACUGGGCGUAAAGCGUGCGCAGGCGGUUUUUUAAGUCAGAUGUGAAAGCCCCGGGCUUAACCUGGGAACUGCAUUUGUGACUGCAUCGCUAGAGUACGGCAGAGGGAGAUGGAAUUCCGCGUGUAGCAGUGAAAUGCGUAGAUAUCGUGAGGAACACCAGUGGCGAAAGCGGCUACCUGGCCCAUUCUUGACGCUGAGGCGCGAAAGCUAGGGGGGCAAACGGG
rnacentral:rRNA from 1 species